rnacentral:tRNA from 1 species
GGGCUUGUAGCUCAGUUGGUUAGAGCGCGUCCCUGAUAAUGACGAGGUCACAAGUUCGAUUCUUGUCAGGCCCACCA